CCAGACUCCUACGGGAGGCAGCAGUGGGGAAUAUUGCACAAUGGGGGAAACCCUGAUGCAGCAACGCCGCGUGGGUGAAGGAGCGUUUCGGCGCGUAAAGCCCUGUCAGCGGGGAAGAAGAAAGACGGUACCCGACCAAGAAGCCCCGGCUAACUACGUGCCAGCAGCCGCGGUAAUACGUAGGGGGCAAGCGUUAUCCGGAUUUAUUGGGUUUAAAGGGUGCGUAGGCGGGUUAUCAAGUCAGCGGUAAAAUCGUGGAGCUCAACUCCAUCCAGCCGUUGAAACUGAUGAUCUUGAGUGGGCGAGAAGUAUGCGGAAUGCGUGGUGUAGCGGUGAAAUGCAUAGAUAUCGCGCAGAACUCCGAUUGCGAAGGCAGCAUGCCGGCUCCACACUGACGCUGAGGCACGAAAGCGUGGGUAUCGAACAGGAUUAGAUACCCUCGUA
rnacentral:rRNA from 1 species